CAUAAAUAUAUGUAUAUCUUUCUUUCUAUUUAAUUUCCUCUGUCUUGUUUAUACAUAUAUAUAUACUGGAUAUAUGCGCAUACCUAUGCCAUAUACUGUAUAUGUAUAUAUAUAUAAGAAAAUGAGUAUAAACCCUAGAAUAUACCAUUAUGAUGUGUACACUAUACAUUUUCGAUAUUAAAAUAAGAACUUCUCUCUAAACGAAGAGUACGUACUGUAUGUAUCAGCUUUUGCAAGUGCAUUUAGUCGUGUUUCAUAGACAGAAAAAAAAAAUUAAUAUAUCUAUAUAAACAUAUUGUUUAUAUGUAUUUGUUUGUAUAGAUAUGCUGUUUAUAUAUAUAUCCACAUAUACAAUGUAUUAGUAUAUAUUUUCCUCGGGAUGGGAAAAGUAUAUACUAGAAUAUACGUGUAUAUAUAUAUAUAAUUACAGACUUUCUUUAUAUAUUUAGUAAACCUAUCAUAUAUGCAUACAGAAUGUACACUACCGAUAUAAAGGAGUAUAGGAUAGCUAUAAACGAAUUAUACACGAUCGCAAUAAGUUCGAUAUCAGGAAAGAUAGUCCAUAAAUAGGUAAUUUUAAUAGAGAGUAUAGUGUCUACAUCUAUUUUUUAAUGAAAUAUACGGUAUGUAUUUAUAAAUUUAUACCCAAAUAUGUAUGUUAGCCUAUAUAUAAGAUUAUCGAUUUUUCCUUUCACAAUUUCCUCAUAUUUAUUGCACGAUCUGUUUCAUAAAGGGAUAGAAGAGUAUACAUUUUUAUAUAAAUUAUUAGAUUACGUGCAAGAAAAUUUAUUCUUGCAACAAGCAUUUAUGCUAAGCCAAUUAAUAACUAUAAAUAUUCAUAUAUGCGCAUAUGCACAUAUUUCAUUUGCAUAUAUAAGAACAAUUUUUUGGGUUGAUAAUUAUAAAGAAUUAAAGGAAUUGCUUUUCUAUAUAUAUGUAAUGCCGUUGUGUAAAAAUACGAAUAAAGUAAAUAUACUAACUUAGAGGAAUUAUUAUUAUAUACAUAAGGACAUUAUUUUAUGAAACACACUACCUUCCGAAUAGAUAGAGGGUACUAUAAAUUAUGUAUUAUGAUUGCUAUAUGUUCACUAAAACAUCCUUUGCAGACAAUGCUUGCUGCGAAACGUAAUUCGAAUUUGCGUUCGACGUUCGCCGCCAGGGCAUCUUUAUUCGAUGAGGAACUGGUGAGUGGUAAAAUAAUAGGGAAACGGGAGGGAAAAUAAAAGGAUAGCGAAGGGUUUUUGGGGGUUAAGAGUGAUGAAAAUAUUUUGUGGUAUGCGACAGCACGAGUAGCGGUUAUCUGCAUGUAUAAUUUUCUUCCACCACUCCGAUUUAUGUACCGGGAGCCAAUUCGACGAAUUAAGUCGGAGCGACUACAGGGAAUUUGGUCGUUCUCUUUUCAUAUCGAUUAUACGAAUAGGUCGACUAGAAUAUAUUUCCGCCUUUUUCUCUAAACGCGCGCCUCGCUUAGCAACCUAUUUUGAUUUUUGUCGACACCUCAGCCGGAAAUCGAUUAAACAUUUAGGAGGCGAGAAAAAAUUACACAUUGGACUUUUUUCGUAUAUUAUUUUCUGUCGCAUUUACAUUAUUCUACUCACAUUACGCCCAUUCCCUAACGGAUGGUAGUAGUACCAAUCUAUGUGUUUACUCUCUUUUUCCUUUAUAUCUAAGCGUUAUGAAAUAUAAAUGUCGAUUGUUUACAAAAACUCAUUUCGUGAUGUUUACGAAACGAAAGUAGACUUUGAGUAGUUUUUAACUCUUUACAAAACGCGAUUAACGUCAGUGUCUCAUCAGUACAAGAACGCGCUUGUAAACAUUCAAUAAUGUAUCAAAGAUGACAAAGGAGCACGCGCUGUUACCUUGUACCUUUUGGAAUACAUAUUUACACUGUAAUGAAUACUUGUAUAUACAGAAAUCUCACGUCUACAAAAAGACGCUUCAAGCGUUAAUCUAUCCGAUUUCAUCUAGUACCCCGCAUAACUUCCACAUUUGGACAGCUACUUCUCCGACCUUUUGCUUCGAAUGCGGUGGUUUGCUUUGGGGUUUGGCUAGGCAAGGGUUGCGUUGUAGCGAAUGUAACGUCAAAUGUCACGAACGAUGUAAAGACCUUCUUAACGCCGAUUGCCUCCAAAGAGCGGCCCAAAAGAGCUCGAAGCACGGCUGUGAAGAUCGGACCCAGAAUCUGAUUACUGCAAUGAAAGAGCGUAUGGACGAAAGGGAACGCAACAAUCCGGAAAUAUUUGAAUUGAUGCGGUAUAGAAAUUUAGAAUAGAAUUCUUUCUUCCUUUCUUCUUUAGUUUCUUUUCUAUUGAGUAUAUUAUAUAGUUGAUCAAUGAUCGUUGAUCGUUUCGAUUUGUAUAUACAGCAAAUUGUUUGGUAUGGAUGAAAAAAUUCAUGUCGGCCACAUGAAAGCUAUCAAGCAAAAUGUACUAGACGGAACUUCAAAGUGGUCUGCUAAAAUUACUAUCACAGUAAUUAGCGCUCAAGGGCUAAUUGGCAAGGACAAAACGGGAACAAGCGACCCCUAUGUAACGGUUCAAGUUGGUAAGAUAAGGAAGAGAACAAGGACUGUUGCUCAAAAUUUAAAUCCGAUCUGGAACGAGAAGUUUUACUUCGAAUGCCAUAACUCCUCAGACCGUAUCAAGAUACGAGUAUGGGAUGAAGAUAAUGAUUUAAAAUCGAAAUUGAGGCAGAAAUUAACAAGGGAAUCGGAUGAUUUUCUGGGUCAGACUAUAGUGGACGUUAGGACUUUAUCGGGUGAAAUGGAUGUCUGGUAUAAUUUAGAAAAACGGACGGAUAAGUCGGCUGUAUCCGGAUCGAUUCGUUUACAGUUGAGCGUUGCGAUAAAAGGCGAAGAGAACGCGGCUCCAUAUCACGUCCAAUACACGUGCCUUCAUCAGAAUCUCUUCCAUUACCUGAAUGAACUUAACUCUGGUGUCGUUCGUUUACCUAAAGCGAAAGGUGAUGGUGCUUGGAAAAUAUACUUUGAGGAACCUGCUCAAGAGGUUAUAGACGAAUUUUCUAUGAGAUACGGAAUCGAAUCGAUUUAUCAAGCUAUGACCCACUUCAGUUGCUUAUCGACCAAGUACACGUCGACGGGCGUUCCAGCAGUUCUCUCGACGCUCUUGGCCCAAAUUAACUCUUUUUACGUACACAAUUCGGUUUCCGAUCGUUUUGCCGCUUCUAAUUUUGGUAAAGAAAAGUUCAUAAAGCUUUUAGAUCAAUUACACAACUCCGUCCGAAUUGACUUAUCAGUUUAUCGGAAUACGUUUCCUGCAUCCGACCGUGCGAGGCUAGCAGAUUUGAAGUCUAUAGUGGAUCUCUUAACUUCCAUCUCAUUCUUCCGUCUUAAAGUCCAGCGUAUAGCUCUUGCUGACAGAGCAUCCGUAGUAGUUACAGAAUGUGUCAAAGCUUGCGCAAAGUCUACAUAUCAAUUCCUUUUCGAUAAUUGCUUUGAUUUGUAUCAUCGAGAGAGGUCGGAGAGCGUAGAGGAUGAUGACGACAGCAAAAACGGCCCAAGCGGCAAAACUUUAUUCUUCUGGAACAAAUUAAUAUCUUUGAUAGUAGCAGUUAUCGAAGAAGAUAGACAGGUUUACUCAAAAGCCGUUUGUCAGUUCCCACAUGAAUUAAACGUAGGUCAAGUAUCGGCCAACGCGAUUUGGCAACUAUUCUCGCAGGAUGUCAAAUUUGCCCUCGAGCAGCACGUGAUGGAGAAUCAACCCUGCAAAUCUAGCGACUACAUGAACUUGCACUUUAAGGUUAAAGGACUUUUUUCAGUAUAUGUAGAUCCAAAUAAUCAGUCUAAAACUGUAUUGGACUACCCCUUGUGGUUCGAACCUUUCGUUCUUAAAUGGUUAGAUGAGAGUGAAGAAAAUUCCACUGGUGUAGUCAGAGCGGCGUAUCGAAGAGAUAAGACAGAGGGAUUUCAAAAAACAUCGGAUAUUGUUCUCUUUUCCUGUUCUGUAACGGAUAUAUUCACUCAGCUUAAUCAGUGCUUUAGCGUAAUCAACAAACUGGAUUGCCCUCAUCCCCAAGUCGAAGCGAGAUAUAUGCGAAAAUUUUCCCAAACCGUUUGCAAAGUUCUAUUAGGAUAUACUCAAUCUCUUAAAGCUGAUUUUGACCAUUUUGCCAAUCAGCAGAGGGUUGCUUGUACAUUAAUCAAUAACAUACAGCAAUUGAGAAUACAAUUAGAAAAGUUAUUUGGCUUAAUGGGCGGCGUUAAUUUGGAUGACAGCGUUAAGGCUUCCCUGACUAAUUUGCAGCAAUAUCUGAAUGGUGUUAUUGACGAACUAGCUGUUAAAUUUACCAGAACAAUGCAAGGGGCUGUUGAAAAGUCGAUAAGGGAGGUUGGAAUAGAACUGGAAAAAGUUAAAGGAUUAAAGGCCAUGCGUACGCAAGCUCAACAUGAAGUAGAUGUUGUACUCAGACCCUUGAUAGAAGUGCUGGACUCUUACUUAUCGGCUUUUACUGAUCUUUGUGAAAAGACUGUGUUCAAGAGGAUAUUGAAAGAGUUAUGGAGGAUUGUUGUAUUCUCGCUAGAGAAAACAAUCGUUCUCCCACCCGUCUCAGAGCCUAAGCAGAAUUUCCCCACCCCGUCAAACGCUCAAACAAAAUUAGAAGAUGUCUCUCGCUCUAUUAUACGCAAUGUCACUCAACAGGCGUCCAGAAUGUCUAUAUCCAUUAUUCAGGAAUUGGCGGCUGACUUCCAAAAUACCUUAUCCCCGAAGCAGUGUUCCGUUGUAGAAAUGGCUCUGAAAACUGUAAAGGAUUACUUUCACGCGAAUGGACAAGGUCUUAAGAAGACCUUUCUGGAAAAAUCCCCAGAAUUGAAGUCUUUAAAAUACGCUCUCAGCCUGUACUCCCAAACUACCGACGCGUUAUUGAAAACUUUCGUUGCUACUCAGGCCAAUCAGGUUUUAAUACGCGAAGAAGAAGAGGAAGAGGAAUUAAUGGGUGAAAUUUCUAUCCAUAUCGACCUUCUAACACAUCCAGGAACGGGGGAAAGGAAGGUAGCCAUUAAAGUUGUUGCAGCUAACGGUCUGAAGUGGAGAUCAUCCGGUGUGUUUAAACCUUUCGUUCAGAUUAACCUAAUUGGGCCUUUUCUAUCGAACAAAAGGCGUAAGGUAGCUACAAAGAGUAAAGCAAAUUGUUGGACACCUAAAUUUGAUGAAAAAUUUCACUUCGUCGUCGGUAAUGAAGAGGAUUUAGAAUCGUACGAACUGCAGAUUACUGUAAAAGACUAUUGUUUUGCAAGGGAAGAUCGGAUUAUUGGAGUUGGUGUUUUACAAUUAAAAGAUAUAGUUGAACAAGGCUCCUGCGCUCUGUGGUGUUCCCUAGGUAGAAGAAUAUCACUAAACGAUACCGGUUGGACAAUUUUACGAAUUCUAGCACAGAGAACUAGCGACGAAGUGGCUCAGGAAAUAGUAAAGUUAAAAACUGAAAUAAGACAUAGUGAAGAAAUAACUUAGAUGCGCCAUCUUUCGUUGUAAACCUGCAUAAGAAAAACAAACUACAUGCAUUAUAAAAAAUAAAAAAUACUGCAUGUUUUGUUUUUUUAUUAGUUUUUUUUUACCUGAGGUAGCUAGCUAAUUAAAUCUUUUCCUCAACCUUUUAUGCAAAAAAUGCUUAAUUCAUUGAAGUAAUUUGGUGCUAUCUGUUGUUUUCUUACCAU
rnacentral:misc_RNA from 1 species